GAUGAACGCUGGCGGCGUGCUUUAUACAUGCAAGUCGAGCGAACAGACGAGGAGCUUGCUCCUCUGACGUUAGCGGCGGACGGGUGAGUAACACGUGGAUAACCUACCUAUAAGACUGGGAUAACUUCGGGAAACCGGAGCUAAUACCGGAUAAUAUAUUGAACCGCAUGGUUCAAUAGUGAAAGACGGUUUUGCUGUCACUUAUAGAUGGAUCCGCGCCGCAUUAGCUAGUUGGUAAGGUAACGGCUUACCAAGGCGACGAUGCGUAGCCGACCUGAGAGGGUGAUCGGCCACACUGGAACUGAGACACGGUCCAGACUCCUACGGGAGGCAGCAGUAGGGAAUCUUCCGCAAUGGGCGAAAGCCUGACGGAGCAACGCCGCGUGAGUGAUGAAGGUCUUCGGAUCGUAAAACUCUGUUAUUAGGGAAGAACAAAUGUGUAAGUAACUAUGCACGUCUUGACGGUACCUAAUCAGAAAGCCACGGCUAACUACGUG
rnacentral:rRNA from 1 species